rnacentral:lncRNA from 1 species
AGUCCGGUCUCUGCUUUUGGAGCGCGUGGGCUCUGCGAGCGCCAGGGCUGGGGACCCUGGAAUACCUGUUCCUCCAGCACGAGGAUGGGGUCCAACUAGUGGUCCUCUAAAUCCUGCUCCUUCCCCGAGGCUACGGGAAGCGCUCCAGCCACAAGGAAACGGCUCCAGUCUUUCGGCUCCCAAACGUGACACUCUAUAUAUCCGGCUCGGAGACUGGGUGUGGGGCGGGAGGAAACCACCCUCCCUCCGACCUUCCCCGGCUCCGCCGCUGCCUCGGCACUGGGCGCGAAACCGGCGGCAGCCUCAGCCCGGGGCGGGAGGAGGGUGAGGGGCCAGCGAAGGCCCUACAGGUCGCGGGGGCGACAGCAUCGUGGGCAGGGCGGCCGCGCGCGCAGGCCCGCCCCGCGCUUCCAUUCGUUCAGCACCAGCGGAUCCACUGGCUAUGACUCCCGCAUUUGUGUGGUUUGGGGGAGGGGAGUUGGUUUUGGUUUCGGUGGGUUUGGUUUGUUUGUUUGUUUGGGGCUUUUGUUUUGUUUUGUUUUGGGUUUUGGGGUUGGUUUUUUUCUCCAUUUUUUAAUCAGUGGGCGAGGGGACAAGGAAGCUAGAAAGGCGCCCCUCUCUGGUGUGGGAAAGGAGAACUCCCACACCGUGAAAGGUGGCGGGGUAGGGGGGUGGAGGGAGAGACCGAGACAGGAGAGAGAUUCAAAGGUUCUAGUCUGAACUGAACGCUUGGGGGACAUACCUUUCCCCACCCACCCUAGCAGAAAAGGCAGCCAAAAAUCCCAGUUUACUCAGCUUGACUACACUGCACAUCCCGUGGGAGGGAUGCUCUUGUAUCUGCUAAAGACAUUGCGGAGGCGCCCUGCAGUGACCCACGAACGCAGUGGCUUUUUAAAACCCAAGGGCGUGAGGGUGGAGGGUGAUGCGAGGACUUCAGGUGAGGCUUCCUCACACUCGGGGUUUGAAGGGCAGAAAUCCGGCUCUGCCUGCCUAUGGUGGGGUGGGGGUGGGUAGGAGACUAGAAAGGAUCAGAGAUGGGGGCCGCAGAAACAGCAGUGAGCCAGCUGUGCUCAGCAGCACUUCUCCGGACUUAAAAGAAAAAAAGAUGUUUCAUUUCUUAGCCUGGUAGCUUUUUUGGGAUUUGGUCAUUGUUAAAUUUUAAACGGAAAAACAAGCUGCCAGGGAAGCCUUGUAGAGGGAUGGACAGGCACGUGAGUGGAGCCCUUGGCCUCAACCAGGAAGUGCUGAAAAACGGCCAACGCCCAUCCUAAUUCCCUGGACAAUGUAGGAGGUAAAUUUCCAAAUAAAUAUGGUGUGUUAAG